CACGGAAGGGGAGUUUUAUAGCACCCCAGCUCGAUGCCAAGAUCUAUAGUGACAAGCUCGACGCUAAGAUCUAUGACGUCGUUUUAGGUGCCACGUCUGCAGCCACUUCAGCCCGCUAUUUUUAGUGGUGAACAUACCUCGACAUAGACCAUGACGACGAGAAAAUGGUGCAAAAACUAAGUCUAAACUUGAUUUUUUUUCAUAAAAAAACAGGCUAAACUUAAAAAAAUUUGGGCAGCCCGUCGGAUGAGAUUCCGCACUCGCAACCUACAUUCGCGUCGACGCGUCGUCUCCACGCCGACUGAAAUGCCGCCGCCACUCCUUCCUGUCAUGUACCUUGUGUCGCCUCUCCCCCGCCAACUAAUCAUCUCCUGUAGCAGCAGCCGGCAGCAGGUGGCGGCCGCCGGCCAUGGAGCUGGCGGUGGGCGCGUCGGAGGCAACCCUCAAGUCACUGCUGAGCAAGCUCGGCGCCCUCCUCGCAGAGGAGUAUGCCCUGAUCCGUGGCGUCCGGGGCGACAUCCAAUUCAUCACCGACGAGCUAGCCAGCAUGCAGGCCUUCCUCAGCAACCUGAGCAAGUACGAGGAGGGCCACGACGACCAGACGGAGGACUGGAUGAAGCAGAUCCGGGACGUCGCCUACGACAUCGAAGACUGCAUCGACGACUUCGCCCACAGCCUCCGUCCAGACCCCAGGGGCAGCGGCUGGGUGACGGCCGUCCGCAAGAUUCUCUACGAGAUCCGGACGUGGUACCCCCGCCGCAACAUCGCCACCCAGAUCGUCGAUCUGAAGAACCGCGCGCAGCAUAUCGGCGAGCGCCGAACCAGGUACGGCGUCCGCGACCCGCAGCCUGGGAAGAAGAAGAGCAACUUGGGGGGCGCUACGGGGUAUCUCGCUGCUGAGAAUCAGGACGUGACCCGGCAACUCGUCCGCGCCCAGCAGCCUGUGGGGGUGAAGGAUAUGCCGGAUCUUAAGAAGUGGAUCCAUGAAGAUGGCAAGAGGGAGAAAACCGGCGUGCUGAGCAUUGUCGGGUUUGGUGGUGUGGGUAAAACCACCAUCGCAAUGGAUCUCUACACAAAAUACGGGCCUGAAUUCCAGCGUCGAGCAAUGGUCACUGUGUCCCAGAACUCAGAUCCUGAGGCGGUCGUCAGAAAUAUACUGAACCAGGUCAAACCACUGUCCAACAACGCGGAGAGGCGAGGCGAAGAUAGCUCUGGCGCCGUCUCCUUGGGGAAGAAGAAUCCAGUCAUUGCAACUAUAUUAAGCCGAAUUAGGCUGCCGUUCCCAAAUCAAAAGCAAGAUAAUGGUGGCGGUCGUGACAAGCAUGAACAAAUAAAAAAGGAGUUGAAGAAUUGCCUCGCAGAUACAAGGUACUUACUGUUAAUUGAUGAUGUAUGGUCAUCAUCAACAUGGCAAAGUAUUUGGAAAUAUUUUCCUGAAGAAAAUAAGAAGGGAAGCAGAAUAAUUGUCACCACACGGUUUCAAGCUGUUGCCACGACAUGCUCUGCACAUAAAGAUCAAGAUCAUAUUCAUUUGGUUGAUGUUCUUUCCGGUGAAGAGGCCAACAGUUUAUUCAUCAAAACCUUGUCCGAGUGUAGAGGUAAUAGUGCCAGACAAUCAAACCAGACCAAGGUGCCAGACAGAGUUUGGCAGAUGUGUGGUGGCUUGCCGUUGGCCAUAGUUACCAUGGCAGGUGUGGUGGCAUCCAAGCCACUGAUGAUCAGAGAUGAAUGGAUUGCCGUUUGCAAUUCCUUGUUUCCGGAGCCAGAAAAAUGUCAUAAACCAGAGGAAUUUAUGAGGAUAAUAAACUAUUGCUACAACGACUUGCCUAGUGAUCUCAAGACUUGCUGUCUGUAUCUUAGCAUAUUUCCUAAGGGCCGUGAAGUUAGCAGGAAGCGGCUGAUUCGGAGGUGGAUAGCGGAAGGUUUCGUCAGUGAGAAGCAAGGUUUGAGUGUGGAGGAUGUUGCUGACACAUGCUUCAAACAGCUCAUUGAAAGGAAGAUGAUGAGGCCCGUUGAGCACAACAGCAAUGGAAGCGUCAAAAGUUGUCGGGUCCAUGACAUGGUACUUGAGUACAUCAUUUCCAAGGCAGCAGAGGAGAAUUUCAUCACUGUGGUCGGUAGCCACUGGUCCAUGUCAACAAGUAGCAAGAAAGUUCGUAGGCUCACUAUCCAUGGCAGUGACCCCAAACGUGCAAAGAAUGUUGACAGUAUGAACUUGUCACAUGUCCGAUCACUGACUGUGUUCGAGAACCUGGACAAACUGCACUUCAAAUCAUUUAAAACUGGAAUAGUGCAAGUGUUAGAUCUCGAAGGCUGCAAAGGUUUCAGGGAGAGCGAUGCCAACGUUUCAGACAUAUGCGAAAUGAUUCUACUUAAGUAUCUGAGCCUACGGAAAACAGACAUAAAAAAUCUUCCCAAUAAUAUUUCCAAGCUCAAGUACCUAGAGACUCUCGAUGUUAGGGAGACAGAAGUUAAACAGCUGCCUACGACUGUAGGGCAGUUGGAACGGAUAACUAACAUCCUUGGUGGUGAUAAGAGAAGACAGAGAACCCUGAAACUUCCUAAGGAGCUCAAGGGAACAAUGAAAUCUUUACGCAUAUUGUCGGGGGUUGAGAUUGUGGAGGGAUCAACAGCUGCAUCAGACUUCAGUUACUUCACUACUCUGAGGAAGCUGGCAAUUUACAGGAUCCACCACAAUGAAGAUAUAUUCAAAAAUUUGCUGUCCUCGAUCCAGUACCUCAGUGGUUAUUCACUCCAAACUCUUUUAAUCGUUGAUGAGUCAUCUGAAUUCUUCAAGACCCUGGAGUCAAUGUCGCCAUCCCAUCUAACUGACCUGAGAGCUCUGGAGCUGUCUGGCAAAUUGCUUUACCUUCCAAAGUGGCUCGACACUCUUCAACAUCUUGUGAAGUUAACGCUUUCAGCAACAGCCCUAUGCACUGAUAACUUUUUGGUCAUCAGAAAACUGAACUCGUUGUUUUCCCUCACCUUUUCAAUCAGCGAAAAGCAAGACCCUGCUUUGGCAGCCAUUCUUGAGAAAAAUAAGUCAGCUUCAAGAGGAGAAAUCGUUGUGCCAGCUGGAGGCUUCAGUAAGCUCAAGCUGCUUCGGAUAUUUGUUCCUCUUCUUCCAUCCCUUACCUUCUCAAAGAAUGCUACACCACAUCUGGAAAGGAUUGAACUGCGUUUUAAAAAGCUGGAAGGAUUUCAUGGUGUGGAUGAACUUGGAAAGCUCCAAGAUGUGGUCUUAACAGUUGACGGGCAUGCAAGUGAGAGGACAAAUUCGAUACUAGACGGAUUGAAGCAGAGGCUAGAAGGAAAGUGCAACCUCAUUGUCAACAAGUAUCACGACUGAUUGAAAUGGAUGUAAACAUAUUUCUUUGAGUAGAAAGAUCACCAGCUCAUUAGAUUUGCAGUAAAGGGUCGGAGACACGGAGACGGCUGCAUCCCUAGACUCCCAUAGGCCGACCCACCGCAAAUCCCACAGCCUCUUAUGCUUCAUGGUUCUCGGCCAUUUCAGGUUCGGUUAUUUCGAAUCCACAUCCAUGUGGAUUGAGGGAUCGAGACGGAUUUUGACUUGUUAUGGAUUUAAACCGACUCAAUCCCACUUAAUCCACAUCAAUUAAGAGCGAACCGAACAAGCUGUCAUGGUUCUCGGCCAUAGCUGUAGCGAGCAUGUAUAACGGAACAACUUUCUUAUAUGAUGUAAGUGCAUUCUUAGUAAUAAUUAAGUAAACAACGUUCUCAUAUAAGUUUGGAUGAGGAAAAAGCAUUUUAGUGGACAUCAUUCUCAUA